rnacentral:tRNA from 1 species
GGGAAGUUGGCUCAGUGGUAGAGUGCUUGCCUUGCAUGCAUGAGGCCAUGGGUUCAAUUCCUCAGCACCACA